GCCUCAUCGGCCCUCAGUCACUGGCUUUAGAGUGGCUUUUGCUUUCCACGAGGAAGUAUGCAGUUCCUUAGGGUGAAUGUCAAAUGUUCCUAAAUAGAGACGCCGCUGAAAUCUCCACGAGCGAUGCUUAUUUAUAGGAAUCAUUUAUCCAAGAGUCUACUGCUUCCCAGCUCGAGGAUUUAUCCCCGGCAUCGCUCAGACUCAGCCCCCAUAGAGCCACACGCCCUUUCUAUUUAUACGCCUGGAAUCCAGCUCUACAAUUGUCUCCAAGUCCCUAAUUAGUGGGUACAGCAGUUCACCCUGAUGGCGGCACGCGUUUCUCUGUGACACCAGUUGUGCCCACCGGAAACCUAUCGCCACAGCAGCCUCGCCUCACUCGGUUUCUCUGUACAUCAGUGAAGAGCCACCUAUGACGCUAGCCCGACCUCUCCAACACAGCCCUCCCCUACAUGGCACACCGUCCACACCCCUCUUCACCUCUGUCUUCCCCAGACCCUUCUACCGAUGUCCACAGACGCGCACGCCCAGCACAGCCCUACCUGUUACCUCAGGGUUGUGGCCAAAAGAGUGGAAAGAACAAUUGCUUGGAUGAGACAGCUGUCUGUUCCUGCUUCACAUUGUGGCUGGAGAGACUGAAAUCCGCCUGGUACUCGGGUGGGAGACGCCCUCUCCUCUCAGAUCAAUCCCAGAGGGAUACAGGGCCAUGAGAAGGUGAAAGAGAGAUACCAGCCGGCGCGUGUUUGCAAGUUGCCCCCUGUAAGUGGUAGGCACCCUCAGAGCUCCCAAGGCACUUCAUCAGGUCAUCCUCACCAGAAUGUGCUGUCUGCAGCCUGCAGGAUCCCCCUGGAGCAAGAAUCCUAGAGCCUUGCUAAUGCAAUCAUGCCGGUCACCAUUUUUUCCUGAUGAACUGCUCUGAAAACACGUGAGAAAAGAGAAUUAAGAAUCCUUGUUUGUGGAAUGGCUGAGUACCUGAAAUAGUGCAAUGUAAGGAGAGAAUGUCAU